rnacentral:miRNA from 2 species
CCUUAUCAUUCUCCUGUCCGGU